ensembl:lincRNA 4930465M20Rik RIKEN cDNA 4930465M20 gene
AGUACAUGGACAACUCAUCCUGGUAACAUGUCCUGUAGACACCCAGAGGUCAGAACUGCAGAGGACCCCAGAUCUACUCAGCCAGCAGGAGGCUAACCUUAACACCUGGGACUCUCCAGUGCCCAGAGCCAGGGCCUCAAGAAUUUUACCCACGAAAGUCUUAUCUGGGAUCUACAUGUAAUCCAGCCUGACAGGACGGUACCAGGUCCCAGCAUCUCCCCAUGAACUGAUCCCACCUGCGGGUGGCCAGGGACAGACCUUGCAGGUCAGGCAGGAGUGGGUCUACUGUUUCUGCUUCCCAGGCAGACGUGUGUGGAGCAAGACUGUUUAUAGACAACGCCUUGCUGUAGCCAGAGGUGGUGGCUUAGCAGCAGCAGGAACGCCCUCCCUCAUUGCUUCACAAGCUGUAAGUUUCUAAGAUGCGCCCUUGGCCUCAGCGGGCAGAUAAGCACCUGCACUGGAGAGGGAACCCUUGAUCAAGGGCUGAUAAGCUCAGGAAAGGAGAAAAAAAAACCACCCCAAUAACAAGAAAAAGCCGAGC